CACAACUUGCCAAGCAGGGAUUUCGAGGUUGGAGCGCGCAUUGAGGAGAAGAGACGACGAGGAAGCAAAACGGGUCUGACAGAACACAGGUUUACAGCUGAGAACAAAGAGGAAAACUGGAAGAUGAAAAGUCUUUGAUUUGGACUCUGCGCUCGACUUUGGACAAAGUUUCCAACGACUUAAAUGGAAAGAUCUGGCUUUGUGAAUAUGGAUCCUGAGGGAGCCGUUUACUCCACAGGCCAAGGAACACGUGGAUAACACUGAGGAAGAACCACCCUGCUGGUUUGUAGCAGAAAGUUGGUGUUUUUUGGUGUCUGGAAGACGAGCCGUUUCAAAUGAGCAGGCACUGCCAGUCGCCUAGCAACCCCAGUGAAGCCCAGUCCGUCAUCUAGCAGCCAGAGCUGAGAUCCCGAACAGCUGGUUCUAAUAUGGAGCAAAAUGAAAAGCGACGCAUGUUGAAGCCAGACCUUCAGAGCUGUGCAGCAGAUUCCUGGCAGACCCCAGAGCCACGGCGGCGGUGAAAGAUGAGCUGGAAUGAGCCUAAAUGCCUCCUCACGGUAGAAAAUAAAAUGUUUUUGCACAAAUAUUCCAACCUGAUAUUAAUGUAGCCUUCAGUGUUUAACACCAUGAGAAACACUUUAAUCCCCAAUUCUUGUUAUUCAUUUUUACGCAAAUAAAAAUACAGAUAAUUCCUUCUCGCACGUUAAAUAUCGGUACAACCAUUAUGUAAUGACAUUAAAGAGUUGUUUAAUUGUGGGUCAGAUAUCAUGUAUUUUCAGAAAACUCUUGUACACAGCGCUUAUAAAAAUAACAUUUAUGUUACACUUUAUACAC